rnacentral:rRNA from 2 species
GGAUGCGAUCAUACCAGCACUAAAGCACCGGAUCCCAUCGGAACUCCGAAGUUAAGCGUGCGUGGGCGAGAGUAGUACUAGGAUGAGUGAUCUCCUGGGAAGUCCUUGUGUUGCAUUCC